rnacentral:misc_RNA from 1 species
GGAAAUCCAGUGGCUCAAUGUGCAUAGUAUCAGGGAAGCCGUGAAGGGUACAGAAUAAAUCUUCCUCAAACUUCAUGAAAGGUGCUUCAGAGAGAUUUUUAAUACCCACAAUCUCCAAAAGAAAGUGAAAAUUUUGGUUGGGAGACGUUUUAUUUGUCAUAGUGCAGCAGAAUCAGUGCAUGACUUGUUUUUCAAUUGUUG